UACGUAGGGUACGAGCGUUGUCCGGAAUUAUUGGGCGUAAAGAGCUCGUAGGUGGUUGGUCACGUCUGCUGUGGAAACGCAACGCUUAACGUUGCGCGGGCAGUGGGUACGGGCUGACUAGAGUGCAGUAGGGGAGUCUGGAAUUCCUGGUGUAGCGGUGAAAUGCGCAGAUAUCAGGAGGAACACCAAUGGCGAAGGCAGGUCUCUGGGCAGUUACUGACGCUGAGGAGCGAAAGCAUGGGUAGCGAACAGGAUUAGA
rnacentral:rRNA from 1 species